rnacentral:rRNA from 1 species
AGGUCUUGCCUGCACGGUGACAGUUAAACGGCCGCGGUAUUUUGACCGUGCGAAGGUAGCGCAAUCACUUGUCUUUUAAAUGAAGACCUGUAUGAAUGGCGGAACGAGGGCUUAGCUGUCUCCCUUUUCAAGUCAAUGAAAUUGAUCUGCCCGUGCAGAAGCGGGCAUACCCCUACAAGACGAGAAGACCCUUUGGAGCUUAAGAUACAUAGAUCAACUACGUCAAGAACCCAUAAAUCAAGUUAAACCCAGUAGAACCUGAUCCCUAUCUUCGGUUGGGGCGACCACGGGAGAAAAUAAAGCUCCCACGAAGACUGGGGCCUACCCCCUAAAACUAAGAAAGACACUUCUAAGUCUCAAAACAUCUGACCAUUAAGACCCGGCUUCUCCGCCGAUCAACGGACCAAGUUACCCUAGGGAUAACAGCGCAAUCCCCUUUCAGAGUCCAUAUCGACAAGGGGGUUUACGACCUCGAUGUUGGAUCAGGACAUCCUAAUGGUGCAGCCGCUAUUAAGGGUUCGUUUGUUCAACGAUUAAAGUCCUACGUGAUCU